GAUGAAGAACGUAGCGAAAUGCGAUAAGUAGUGUGAAUUGCAGAAUUCAGUGAAUCAUCGAAUCUUUGAACGCACAUUGCGCCCGCCAGUAUUCUGGCGGGCAUGCCUGUUCGAGCGUCAUUACAACCCUCAGGCCCCCGGGCCUGGCGUUGGGGAUCGGCGGAGCCCCCCGUGGGCACACGCCGUCCCCCAAAUGCAGUGGCGGUCCCGCCGCAGCUCCCAUCGCGUAAUAGCUAACACCUCGCGACUGGAGAGCGGCGCGGCCACGCCGUAAAACACCCAACUCUUCUGAAGUUGACCUCGAAUCAGGUAGGAAUACCCGCUGAACUUAAGCAUAUCAAUAAGCGGAGGA
rnacentral:misc_RNA from 1 species